rnacentral:lncRNA from 1 species
CACCACUAUACUUUCUAGAAUAGUGGAAGUUAGGACUUCAAGAUUGUCACUUAUCUCCUUGUGUCACACAGCACAGAAACCCCAAGUCCUCACACUGCCCCCACCCCCCUUCUGGCCAUGACUACCAACUACUCUGUUAUUCUAGCGGAGGACAAUGACGGAAGUGGGUAGACGACUGAAGGAGAUCAGCUGUCCACCGCGUACUCUACUAAAUUCAAAAUUUAGAAACAGUGCCUUAAAGACGGGCAAGAAAACCCGGUGUGGGAGUCUGCUCAUCUAUGGUUUGUUACUGCUCUCGCUUCGAUAUUCUUAAAUUCCUAGGUACCAAUGAAAAAGCCAAGUGAACGUGGCAGAGUGAGGAGGAGACAGGAGCGUGUGCACCUUCCAUCUGUGAGAGGCACACUUCAGUCUGGGUUCAAGAUGCAGAAUGGUGCCUACGGC